GUCGUGUAUAGAAAACUUCUUUUUUGUGAGUCAAAAUCCUUCUUUAUGAUGGUUGAAUCGAUUCAAAUUUUUCUGACUAGCAUCACAAUGAAUAGAUUCAAAUUAUUUUGAAUCGAUUCAAAAACCUCUAUGACUUUGGUUGAAUAGAUUCAAAAUAAUUUGACUAGUAUCAAUCUUCAUCCGGGGAUUUUUGAAUCUAUUCAAAUCAUGUCUGAUGCGUAUCAAUCUUCAUAGCUCAUCUACCUUGUCACUUAACUAUCUGAAUUGAUUCACACAUUAAGUGAAUCGAUUCAAUAAGUUGUUUUUGGCUGAAAUUUUGCUCUUGCCACCCUUUUCUAUAUAUACUCACUACCUUAUAACACCAAAUUCAUUGAAUCAUUUGCAACUAUUCUCUUUAGGUCUCAAAAACUCAUUGUUCAUACAUUCUUCAAGAUUAAACAUUUUUUCUUAGAAUCAUUUUGUUCUUUGAGUCACAUUGAUUUGCUAGGGUGCUAGUAGGGAUUGUAAGUUGGUCCUCUCAAGAAGAUUGAUUGGGCUUAAUCAAGGCUUCAAAGUGAAUUGAAUAAUCUCAUUCCACCUCCAAAGGACUUGGGGGUCUUUCCAACCGUUCUUGAAGUCGAAGGGGAUUCGUUUACCGGACGUAGCAUUGAAGGCUUGAGUGAAGAGUUCAAAGGGGUGCACGGGUAAUCAAGGAUCCGAAGAUUCAAGGAGCACCAAAUUCAAGGGUUGCUUGGAGUUUGGGAGAGUUUUUUACAUACGGGUUGAAGAAUUAGGUUUUAAUUUCAAGGAACUCUUGUAAACACAUUGUAUUCAACAUUUGUUACAUAGUGGAUGACCUUGGUGAAGGUGUACUUCUUCAAUCUCACAUGUAUUGUGUUUUGAUUUGAUAGUUUAGUAAUUUUUGUUCAUAUAGGUUUGGUUUGAAAUUGUCUAUAAGUUUUGUACAUUGUUCAAGGUUAAUUAAGGUUUG
rnacentral:lncRNA from 1 species